UCGAGCGGAAACGAGUUAUCUGAACCUUCGGGGAAUGAUAACGGCGUCGAGCGGCGGACGGGUGAGUAAUGCCUAGGAAAUUGCCCUGAUGUGGGGGAUAACCAUUGGAAACGAUGGCUAAUACCGCAUAAUACCUUCGGGUCAAAGAGGGGGACCUUCGGGCCUCUCGCGUCAGGAUAUGCCUAGGUGGGAUUAGCUAGUUGGUGAGGUAAUGGCUCACCAAGGCGACGAUCCCUAGCUGGUCUGAGAGGAUGAUCAGCCACACUGGAACUGAGACACGGUCCAGACUCCUACGGGAGGCAGCAGUGGGGAAUAUUGCACAAUGGGCGCAAGCCUGAUGCAGCCAUGCCGCGUGUGUGAAGAAGGCCUUCGGGUUGUAAAGCACUUUCAGUCGUGAGGAAGGUAGUGUAGUUAAUAGCUGCAUUAUUUGACGUUAGCGACAGAAGAAGCACCGGCUAACUCCGUGCCACAGCCGCGGUAAUACGGAGGGUGCGAGCGUUAAUCGGAAUUACUGGGCGUAAAGCGCAUGCAGGUGGUUUGUUAAGUCAAUGUGAAAGCCCGGGGCUCA
rnacentral:rRNA from 1 species